CUUUGAUGGAAAAGCCCAAACCAAAUUUUUGCAGGUCCUGAAAUUUUCGUGCGUAUAAAGUCCGGCGUUUCUCCUAGAUUUUAUAUUCUGUGUAGUGAACGAAACCCUAGCGGGCAAAUAUGAUCAUUCCAGUCCGUUGCUUUACUUGUGGAAAGGUAGAUAAUUCCAACAAUUUAUCUACUUUAAUCUUGAUUUUUUUUCAAAAGAAAAUAUUAACUUUUUCAUGGUUUUGCUAGGUAAUUGGAAACAAAUGGGAUACGUACCUUGAUUUGCUCCAGGCUGAUUACACAGAAGGGUACGUACCUUAUGAGUUCUAUGGUUGAUUUUUUCUUUGUUAUUAUUCGGAGAAUUCUUUUUUUAAUUUCGCAUACAGUUUUAAUUGAGUCUGAGGAAUGUGUUUUAAUUGACAAACAAAAAACUCAGUUUUGUCUCAAGUUAAGUUACGCUGUUUGUAGAAGUUGUUGCUGGUUGUGUGAAGUAUUAAAAGCUUAAAAAUUUAUUUUCUUAGAAGUCUUGCAAGUUUAUGAAGGACCUGAAAUUAUUACUGAUCAGAUAUAUUUUUACUUUUUAAAGUUUCAUGCAUGUAACAAGCAGCUUCUUAAUGAAGUAGUGUACAUUUUUUAAGUCUCUUGCUGAAUUCUUCAAUUCAGAAUGAGCUUGGGUGUACAGGAUUGGGUAUCUUUAUUCCUAAAUUGAUAAAAAAUGCCUGUGGAUAAAAGUCAAAUGACUUGAUUCUAGGCAUGAACAUCCAUGUGCUGGAUAUUCGUAGGUAUUGUAAUUUCCUCAUACAAGGUGAUGAAGAAUGACAAUCAGGACCAUUGUAAUCGGAAAUCUAUAAUAUUGUAGUGCUGUUUUAUCAGCAAUAAUGUACCGUAUAAAUUAGUCAAAUUGGCUGAGAUUAAGAACUAAAGAAACAUCUAAUGUUGAGAAGGCAUUUUUUGUUUAGUAUUCUGUUACUGUCCACCAAUAAUAGCUGAUAGAGUGACAAAAUUCACAUGCUUCCAGACAUCCGAAUUUAUUUAGUAUAUGCCACCCCUUGUCCUCUUGCUGCUCUUUCUGAGUUAUAUUGGAAAUUUGAAAUUGGUAUACAUUGAAAGGAUCUUAAAUGAGUUGAGUAGGCUGGCAAUGACUUGUGUUUAAUUGCAUAAUGAUUCAAAGUGGAGCAUAAGUUGAGGUAAGCCUAGCAUGUCUGAACCCCAGCUAUGCUCAGCUUGUUCGAUUUGGACACAGCAUGGAGGCAGGGUGGGCCAUGAUGUACCACCCACACCUCGAAUAUUUUAAAUCUGUCAAUUCAUUUAUGUUAUAAUUUGAUGGCUCACUAUUUGAUUUGUGUAAUAAACUGCAAAAGCAUCCUUGUAAUUGUAGAUGCUCAAAAUUCUAUGGUCUUUAUUUUCUGCUGUAGUAUCUUUGAGGUAAGAUUCAUUGGUAUUAGAAAUUCCAUUAGAUACUCAAAUUCCCAAAUCUUGGGAUUUUGACAGACUCUGAAUCAAUCUAGGAGGAAGCACACCUUGCUGUGUAGCAAGUUAUUAAGAAGAUCGAAUCUUCAAAAUUAAGGUGAUUAAGAAACCAUGUUUCCCUCUCUGAGGCUUGAGAGUUUUAUCGUAGGAUAAUGGAGGGAACCUACAUUUUAUAAGUUGAGAGAAGACACUUUAAGAUAAGCUUCAAAGAUAGUCAUUUUCAUCAUCGUAGUUUAAAAACUACGUAAUUCUCAAAUUGAGCGAUAGGAUUUUAAGUGCAUGUUUGGUAGGUGAUUCAAUUAUAAUUUAAGCCCCCGUUUGUUUCCCAUUUUUUAGUAAGAAUGCAUUUUGAAAUAGUUAAAUGAUGAAGAAUGUGUGGUUAAGAAUUAAGAAAAAGUUUUAAUUUUACGUGUAAUAUUAUUUUAUUGGAUAAUGUGUGGUUGUAAAGAAGAAAGAGAAAAAUGUAUUUUGAGAAAAAUGGGGAACAAACAAGGGCUAAGAGAUAAAGUUGGUGUCCCAUAGGGAUGUGGGAAUAAUAUGUGUGUGAUAGUUGCGGGUCCAAUGAAAAAUUGUGAAUAAAAGUUAUAUUUGAUUAUAAGUGCUGUCCACACAUAUUCUAAUACAUGAUAUUUAUUAAACAACCGUGUAAGUUUAGUAUUUUUGAAAUUAUUAAAUUCCUUAAAUAAAAUCACGAGGGCCACAAAAUAUCUUGUACUCAAAUUUUGAUGGCUUUUUCUUCCCAAAUCCUGGACAAAGGUGUAGACCUUUUUGUAUUUCGAGGAGGAAAACUACGUGUAUGUUUGAGCAUUAAUACAGUUGCAGGAUUGAGUGUGAUAUUGCUUAUCAGCUUUGUAGCUGGUGUUGCAUAUGCGGGCAGGAAUUUGAUUUCCUCGAGUGAUGCUCCAUAUCUCUAUUUAUAAGAAUUUGGUUUGAUGGAGGUAGUGCUUCUCCACAAACUACAGGUUUGCAGGCUGCGGAAUGUGUCUUCUGUCGUUCCUGGGAAUGACGACCAACUGAGAUGUGAACUGAUAAUGUAUCAGGCUAUCAGCUAGGUCCUGAUUAGACCAGUGAAAUAAUGAAUAAAGAACCAAGAAACAUGGACAUUUUCUGUAUUUUAUUUCUAUUUGAACGGAAAAAGCCGCAUCAAUCCUAAUUUACUUGUCAUUGUUAGUGAAAUAUAGGUCACUCUACACUUGUGGUAAUUUUGAAUUCCAGAUCUAAUGAUAAUUUUUUUUUUUUUUUUUAUUUUUGUUACAGAGAUGCUCUUGAUGCAUUGGGUUUGGUUCGCUAUUGUUGUAGAAGAAUGCUGAUGACUCAUGUUGAUCUCAUUGAGAAGCUUCUGAACUACAACAGUACUCUCCCUUUCUUUUCUUUUACGUUCUUCAUAAUUAUGUCUCAUUUCUCACUUAGACAGCUUUUAAAUAUCUUUUUAUAUAUUUUUUUUCAAGUUUAUGUUAACGUAACCAGAUUCCCGUGUAACGUUGUUGGUAUUGUUUGUUGUUAAGACUUGGAGUCCAUCUUAAUAAGGUCAACUUUAUUAAGUGGAGAAGUUUAAGAUCUUUAUAAAUUGAUAUUUAUUUCGGUAUAAACUGAUGUAGGAUAAUACAUCCCUUAACAAACCCCCUCAAGAUGGUGGCUCAUUUGAGCAUACCAAUCUUGAAAUUAACGGGGUGGCGCUGAUAUCAUGUUAAGACUUAGGGUCCAUUUUAAUAAGGUUAACUUUAUUAAGUGGAGAAGCCCAAGAUCUUUAUAAAUUGGUAUUUGUUUCGGUAUUAAACCGAUGUGGGAUAACACAUUCCUUAACAUUGGUGCUGCACGAAAUUCUCCACUCCUACCCCUCCACUCACGUCCCGACUCACUUGUACAUAAAUGACAUUAAGAACACAAAUAAGAAAGCACAGUACUGAAGUCUGUAUGUUUUGACAAUAUAGUAACACAAUAUUAAGAAAGAAAAAGCUUUGUUGCAAUACUGCGUCCUAAACAUGUCCAAAUAACACAAUUUGGGGUUCUGCUAUGUUAUCUGAACUCACAUGGCGAUUUCUUUUUUUUUUGCAGCUUUGGAGAAAUCUGAGGGCAGUUGAUGCAGGUUUCUGAGUAUGAACUUUGUGUGAAGUGCUCGUCUUUCAUGUAUCACGUAUCAUUUUCUCCAAAACAUGGCGUCUAAAUUUGUAGUUUAAGUUAUCUGCAGUCAUGAGUAUAUAACUGGUGUGCUUUUCCAAAGUACCUGUUAAAUGGAAAUAUCUGCUAUUUGAUUAAUACAUCAUUAAAGCGGCUUUCCAUUUUCUUAUAUAGUAUUAAUCGGUAUGAAUAAAUCCUUGUGUACAAGGGAAAUACAGACCCCUCACAUGGGUUGGCCCCAUGCUGGGCGCAGUGCAAUAGAAAAUGGCAAAAGAAAAUAAAUAAAUAAAUAUCCG
rnacentral:lncRNA from 1 species